rnacentral:rRNA from 1 species
UAGCGAAAUUCCUUGUCGGGUAAGUUCCGACCCGCACGAAAGGCGUAAUGAUUUGAGCACUGUCUCGACAAUGCAUCCGGUGAAAUUGAAGUACCAGUGAAGAUGCUGGUUACCCGCGCCAGGACGGAAAGACCCCAUGGAGCUUUACUCCAGUUUGGUACUGGGAUUCGGUACUGCAUGUACAGGAUAGGUGGGAGACUGAGAAAUUGGAACGCCAGUUUCAAUGGAGUCACUGUUGGGAUACCACCCCUGCAGUAUUGGGUUUCUAACCAGCCGCUGUGAUCCAGCGGUGGGACAAUGCCAGGCGGGGAGUUUGACUGGGGCGGUCGCCUCCGAAAGGGUAUCGGAGGCGCUCAAAGGUUCCCUCAGAAUGGUCGGAAACCAUUUGAAGAGUGCAAAGGCAGAAGGGAGCUUGACUGCGACACCGACGGGUGGAGCAGGUACGAAAGUAGGACUUAGUGAUCCGGUGGCAUAAAGUGGGAUUGCCAUCGCUCAACGGAUAAAAGCUACCCUGGGGAUAACAGGCUUAUCACUCCCAAGAGUUCACAUCGACGGAGUGGUUUGGCACCUCGAUGUCGGCUCAUCGCAUCCUGGGGCUGUAGUAGGUCCCAAGGGUUGGGCUGUUCGCCCAUUAAAGCGGUACGCGAGCUGGGUUCAGAACGUCGUGAGACAGUUCGGUCCCUAUCCGGCGCGGGCGGAGGAUAUUUGAGAGGAGCUGUCCUUAGUACGAGAGGACCGGGAUGGACGGACCACUGGUGUAUCUGCUGUCGACCAACGGCAUGGCAGAGUAGCCAAGUCCGGAAGGGAUAAACGCUGAAGGCAUCUAAGCGUGAAGCCCCCCUCAAGAUGAGAUAUCCCAUAGAGUUAAUCUAGUAAGACCCCUUGAAGACGACGAGGUAGAUAGGCAGAAGGUGGAAGUGUGGUGACAUAUGGAGCUGAUCUGUACUAAUAGGUCGAGGGCUUAACCGA